rnacentral:rRNA from 1 species
CGACGCUUUAGGUAAAUCCUGGGUGUUGUUAACGCUGAGGGGUGAGUACGAGGGCAACCGAAGUCUAUGAUUCCACGCUUCCAAGAAAAACUUCUAAGGAGAUCGUUAUUAACUCGUACCGUAAACCGACACAGGUGGAUGAGGAGAAUAUCCUAAGGUGCUUGGAAAAACUUCGGUUAAGGAACUCUGCAAGUUUGUGCCGUAACUUCGGGAGAAGGCACGCCCUUUGAGGUGAAGUCCCUUGCGGAUGGAGCUUUGGAGGGUCGCAGUGAAACGGGGGUAGCGACUGUUUAUCAAAAACACAGGUCUAUGCAAACACGUAAGUGGAAGUAUAUGGAUUGACGCCUGCCCGGUGCUGGAAGGUUAAGAGGAGAGGUUAUCGCAAGAGAAGCUUUGAAUCGAAGCCCCAGUAAACGGCGGCCGUAACGAUAACGGUCCUAAGGUAGCGAAAUUCCUAGUCGGGUAAGUUCCGACCUGCACGAGGGCGUAACGACUUCCCCACUGUCUCUACUAAAGAUCCAGCGAAAUUGGGGUGCGCGUGAAGACACGCGCUACCCGCGGAAGGACGAAAAGACCCCGUGAACCUUUACUGUAACUUGGCAUUGGUCUUCGAACGUCAAUGCGUAGGAUAGGUGGGAGUUUUUGAUCCGUGCGUUCCGGCGUACGGGGAGACAACCUUGAAAUACCACCCUUUGACUUUUGGAGACCUAACCAGCAGAUCUGAAUCGAUUUGUGGGACAAUGUCUGGUGGGCAGUUUGACUGGGGCGGUCGCCUCCUAAAGAGUAACGGAGGCGCACAAAGGUUCCCUCAGGCCGAAUGGAAACCGGCCGUGGAGUGUAUACGCAUAAGGGAGCUUGACUGUGAGGCAAACGAGCCGAACAGGUGCGAAAGCAGGUGUAAGUGAUCCGGCGGUUCCGAGUGGAAGGGCCGUCGCUCAACGGAUAAAAGGUACUCCGGGGAUAACAGGCUGAUCUCGCCCAAGAGUUCACAUCGACGGCGAGGUUUGGCACCUCGAUGUCGGCUCAUCGCAUCCUGGGGCGGUAGCACGUCCCAAGGGUUUGACUGUUCGUCAAUUAAAGCGGUACGCGAGCUGGGUUCAGAACGUCGUGAGACAGUUCGGCCUCUAUCCUCCGUGGGCGUAAGAAAUUUGAGAGGAUCUGACCUUAGUACGAGAGGACCGGGUUGGACAAACCUCUGGUGUGCCGAUUGUGACGCCAGUUGCAUCGUCGGGUAGCUAAGUUUGGACAGGAUAACCGCUGAAAGCAUCUAAGUGGGAAGCCUUCCUCAAGAUAAGAUUUCUAUUAAGGGUGCUUGUAGACUACGAGCUUGAUAGGUUGGAGGUGUAAGAGGAGUAAUCUUUUGAGCUGACCAAUACUAAUAACCCGUUUGGUU